GUUAUGCUUAAUUGUCAGGUUAACUACGACUACUUGCCGGAUUAUUUGGAGCUACCUGCCCGGUUCACCAUGAAUACUGCCACGUUAAUUAUGUCUAAUUGCCAGAUUAACGACACCUAGUUACCGAAUUAUUUGGAGCUACUUGCUAGAUUAACAAUGACCACUUGUCACGUUAUUUAUCCAUGCUUACCUAUCUUCUCCUGGUUAUACAUUUACGCUACCGUUAAGAGCAACAUCAUACUCUGCAUCAAUCACAACAACCAGCCCAAUAAUCGAAUCAAAUUGCUUAUACCAGAGAGAAAACCCCUCGAAUGAUCACAACAUCAUCAUACAGUAUAGCUAUUAUAUGGCGAACAAAGUUCUCAACGGCCUAUACCAUGCAAUCUUUUCGAAAAGCACCCCUAGAUCACGUAGUUCCAGAAAAAAGCAUCCCGGUGAGGCAUUCCUUCGAACACCUAAAGGGCAUUAGAAGUACCUCUCCAUCCGCUGCCGUCGCACACGCCAACGAGGCGUCCUGACGAGCGAGCCGCCGCAUCUGCACACCGGCGCCACCGCCGCAAUAUCCUCCUGCCAUUGCUGGCCACAGCCCCGGCCCGGGCCUCCGUGCUGCCGCCUCUGCACACGCGCGCCGCUGCACUGGCGCCGGCGCCAGACGCCUGCCUCCGCACGACGCUGCCUCCUCUGCACAGGCGGGCUGCUGCACGGGCGCCACCGCCGUAAUACCCUGCCGCUGCUGGCCCCAGCCCCGCUCCGGGCGGCCCCGCUGCCUCAACGACGCCGCACGCCUUCCUCCUCACCGCACGGCCGCCGUUUGCCUACUCGCCAGAGAAAGACACCCUUCGCCGCCAGCUCCUUGCCCGUAUACGUCGUCGCCAUCGCUGCCGGCGUAUGCCGCCACAACGUCUUCAAUCGACUCCGCGGGGGAAGCUGGGGGAACCGCCCCGCCGCACCUCCACACGGCUUCUGGCGCCGCACCGCUGCUACCUCGCCGCCUCCGCACGUCACUGCUGCAGCUGUCGGCGUCGUCCCACUGCUACCCAUCCGCCUCCACGCCCCAGAGAGUAGAUUAGGGGAUGGUUGGGAUGGGAUGAGAGGGGAUGAGGUCGGGGGAGGGAGGAGAUCGGGGGAGGGAUGGGAGGGGGUGAGAUCGGGGAGGGCAGGCUCGUCACGGGAUGACACGGGGGAAGAGAUGGGAUGAGAAUGGGAUGGCGAUGGAUAGCCAAAAUGUGGAUAUCCAUGGAUAUUCAGGGAUAUUCAGUUCAUGGAUCACGGGUAUGGAUCGGUUUUUCGAUCCAUGGAUAUUCACUCAUGGAUACCCGCCAACUCAUGGAGCGGGUACGGAUAUCACAUUCGAUCCAUGGAUAUUCAUGGAUACCCGGUAUUUAAUGAAAUAAAUAAAUUACUGACAUGUGGG
rnacentral:lncRNA from 1 species